UGGGGAAUAUUGCACAAUGGCGCAAGCCUGAUGCAGCCAUGCCGCGUGUGUGAAGAAGGCCUUCGGGUUGUAAAGCACUUUCAGCGAGGAGGAAGGUGGUGGACUUAAUACGUUCAUCAAUUGACGUUACUCGCAGAAGAAGCACCGGCUAACUCCGUGCCAGCAGCCGCGGUAAUACGGAGGGUGCAAGCGUUAAUCGGAAUUACUGGGCGUAAAGCGCACGCAGGCGGUUUGUUAAGUCAGAUGUGAAAUCCCCGGGCUCAACCUGGGAACUGCAUUUGAAACUGGCAAGCUAGAGUCUCGUAGAGGGGGGUAGAAUUCCAGGUGUAGCGGUGAAAUGCGUAGAGAUCUGGAGGAAUACCGGUGGCGAAGGCGGCCCCCCUGGANGAAGACUGACGCUCAGGUGCGAAAGCGU
rnacentral:rRNA from 1 species